rnacentral:misc_RNA from 1 species
UUAAGUUCAGCGGGUAUCCCUACCUGAUCCGAGGUCAAACUUGGGGGUUGUCUUGUGGACGCCAUGUUGUAGACCGCGAGGCGCUAUUUGCUGCGCUCGAAGCUGUAAACAGGCUGCCAAUGCUUUUGAGGCGAGUCCGCGCCGAGGCGGGACAAACGCCCAACACCAAGCAGUGCUUGAGGGUUUAGAUGACGCUCGAA